rnacentral:rRNA from 1 species
GACGAACGCUGGCGGCGUGCUUAACACAUGCAAGUCGAACGGAAAGGCCCUGCUUUUGUGGGGUGCUCGAGUGGCGAACGGGUGAGUAACACGUGAGUAACCUGCCCUUGACUUUGGGAUAACUUCAGGAAACUGGGGCUAAUACCGGAUAGGAGCUCCUGCUGCAUGGUGGGGGUUGGAAAGUUUCGGCGGUCGGGGAUGGACUCGCGGCUUAUCAGCUUGUUGGUGGGGUAGUGGCUUACCAAGGCUUUGACGGGUAGCCGGCCUGAGAGGGUGACCGGCCACAUUGGGACUGAGAUACGGCCCAGACUCCUACGGGAGGCAGCAGUGGGGAAUAUUGCACAAUGUGCGGAAGCCUGAUGCAGCAACGCCGCGUGCGGGAUGACGGCCUUCGGGUUGUAAACCGCUUUCGCCUGUGACGAAGCGUGAGUGACGGUAAUGGGUAAAGAAGCACCGGCUAACUACGUG